GGAGAAAAGCAGGGGAUCGCAAGACCUUGCGCUCAUUGAGCGGCCGAUGCCUGAUUAGCUAGUUGGUGAGGUAAAGGCUUACCAAGGCGACGAUCAGUAGCUGGUCUGAGAGGACGACCAGCCACACUGGGACUGAGACACGGCCCAGACUCCUACGGGAGGCAGCAGUGGGGAAUUUUGGACAAUGGGGGAAACCCUGAUCCAGCCAUGCCGCGUGAGUGAAGAAGGCCUUCGGGUUGUAAAGCUCUUUCAGCCGGAACGAAACGGUCACGGCUAAUACCUGUGACUACUGACGGUACCGGAAGAAGAAGCACCGGCUAACUACGUGCCAGCAGCCGCGGUAAUACGUAGGGUGCGAGCGUUAAUCGGAAUUACUGGGCGUAAAGCGUGCGCAGGCGGUUUUGUAAGUCAGAAGAGAAAUCCCCAGGCUUAACCUGGGAACUGCGUUGAUAAAAGGAGGCUAGAAGGGC
rnacentral:rRNA from 1 species